GGAUUAUCUGCUGGAGGCACCUCCUUUUCUUUAUCAGCACCUAUGUGCAAUGAACUACCAUCUGCAGCACCAUCCAGGGAACAGUGACUUGGUUCAAUGUCACAAGGAACAUCAUUGGAGGAAUUACCUAGCUUCUCCAUUUGACUGAGGUGUGAUAAAGGAGUUCUUUCUUUGCCCGAGGAUCUCUUUUUACCAGGAAUGGAGCUUUCAAAAAUCAGGGAUAUUUUGGAGAUUCCAGAUGACUUAUUUUCAUUUUUUGCUUUUCCACCUGUAAAUUUUGUCCUUGCCCGUUUCGAGACCAUAUCUAGAGGAUUAACAGACUCAUGUGUAUCGUUCUUCUGGUAACAUGUUGGACAUUCCCACUUUCCAGUUGGUAUACGCUUAAGAGGAGGAUCCAGACACUGAAUAUGGUAUGUAC
rnacentral:misc_RNA from 1 species